UCGGGAAUUUUGGGCAAUGGGGGAAACCCUGACCCAGCAACGCCGCGUGAAGGAUGAAGUAUUUCGGUAUGUAAACUUCGAAAGAAUAGGAAGAAUAAAUGACGGUACUAUUUAUAAGGUCCGGCUAACUACGUGCCAGCAGCCGCGGUAAUACGUAGGGACCAAGCGUUGUUCGGAUUUACUGGGCGUAAAGGGCGCGUAGGCGGCAUGACAAGUCACUUGUGAAAUCUCCGAGCUUAACUCGGAACGGUCAACUGAUACUGUCACACUAGAGUACAGAAGGGGCAAUCGGAAUUCUUGGUGUAGCGGUGAAAUGCGUAGAUAUCAAGAGGAACACCUGAGGCGAAGGCGGGUUGCUGGGCUGAUACUGACGCUGAGGCGCGAAAGCUAGGGUAGCAAACGGGAUUAGAUACCCAGGUAGUCCCUGAGCGGGCUGGCAAGGCGCAU
rnacentral:rRNA from 1 species